rnacentral:tRNA from 1 species
GGGCGGUUAGCUCAGUUGGUUAGAGCACCUGGUUUACACCCAGGGGGUCGCAGGUUCGACUCCUGCACCGCCCACCA